rnacentral:rRNA from 1 species
GACGAACGCUGGCGGCGUGCUUAACACAUGCAAGUCGAACGGAAAGGCCCUGCUUUUGUGGGGUGCUCGAUUGGCGAAGGGGUGAGUAACACGUGAGUAACCUGCCCUUGUCUUUGGGAUAACUUCAGGAAACUGGGGCUCAUAUCGGAUAGGAGCUCCUGCUGCAUGGUGGGGGUUGGAAAGUUUCGGCGGUUGGGGCUGGACUCGCUGGUUAUGCGCUUGUUGGUGGGGUAGUGGCUUACCAAGGCUUUGACGGAUAGCCGGCCUGAGAGGGUGACCGGGCACAUGGGUACUAAGAGACGGCGCAGACGCCAACCGGAGGCAACGGUGGGGAAUAUUGCGCAGUGGGGGGGAGUCAGAUGCAGAGAUCCUGGGUGCGGGAUGACCGGCUACGGGUUGUAAACCGCUUUCGAAGGAGCCGUACCGGGAGUGACGGUAAUGGGUAAGAAAGCACCGGCUAACUACGUG